rnacentral:pre_miRNA from 1 species
CACCCGUACAUAUGUUUCCGUGCUUGACAAUGAGUUCAAUCACGUCACAAUUUAUGGGUCG